AGUGAACGCUGGCGGUAGGCCUAACACAUGCAAGUCGAACGGCAGCACAGUAAGAGCUUGCUCUUACGGGUGGCGAGUGGCGGACGGGUGAGGAAUACAUCGGAAUCUACUUUUUCGUGGGUGAUAACGUAGGGAAACUUACGCUAAUACCUCAUACGACCUACGGGUGAAAGCAGGGGAUCUUCGGACCUUGCGCGAUUGAAUGAGCCGAUGUCGGAUUAGCUAGUUGGCGGGGUAAAGGCCCACCAAGGCGACGAUCCGUAGCUGGUCUGAGAGGGUGAUCAGCCACACUGGAACUGAGACACGGUCCAGACUCCUACGGGAGGCAGCAGUGGGGAAUAUUGGACAAUGGGCGCAAGCCUGAUCCAGCCAUACCGCGUGGGUGAAGAAGGCCUUCGGGUUGUAAAGCCCUUUUGUUGGGAAAGAAAAGCAGCAGGUUAAUACCCCGCUGUUCUGACGGUACCCAAAGAAUAAGCACCGGCUAACUUCGUG
rnacentral:rRNA from 1 species